UUAUUGGACUAUUAGCUGGUGUAGCUCUAAUUAUCAUAUUAGCAACUUUCAUGAGAAGGACGUUUGGUGAAAAUGGUAAAUAAAUAACCAUAGAUCCCUCUUGCCAAAGUAACCUGGAAUUAACCAAGAAUUUCAAGAAUAUUUCUUCCCCGACUUAUUUUUUUGAAAGCCCUUUUUCCCUUUUUCUUUUGCUGUUGCCCUUCACCUGCGUUUCUGUUUGGGGAUUUGCUUUAUGCUUCUAUGCGAAAGGAGUUACAGAUCGUGGAUGAAAUCAAGACGGAAAAGAUGCCUCUAGAUUCUAGGGAUAUGUGUACUCUGAAAGCAAAAUUCAAGUUAAAGAUGGUUAAAAGAGGGAUGCCAAGAUUCCACCCUUUUCUCCACUUCAACAAAGUUGUAUCGUCCAAUGUUAAAAAGUGGCAUAUUCUUUUGUAAAGGAGCAAAUGGCAUAGUCUGCAUGGUGCUUUUCAUCCUUUUAUCGUUCAAUUGUCACAGCAAUUUUUUUUU